UCCAACCUGCCGAUGACUCGGGGAUAGCCUUUCGAAAGAAAGAUUAAUACCCGAUGGCAUAGUUCUUCCGCAUGGUGGAACUAUUAAAGAAUUUCGGUCAUCGAUGGGGAUGCGUUCCAUUAGGUUGUUGGCGGGGUAACGGCCCACCAAGCCUUCGAUGGAUAGGGGUUCUGAGAGGAAGGUCCCCCACAUUGGAACUGAGACACGGCCCAGACUCCUACGGGAGGCAGCAUG
rnacentral:rRNA from 1 species